rnacentral:rRNA from 1 species
UACGUAGGGUGCGAGCGUUAAUCGGAAUAACUGGGCGUAAAGGGUGCGCAGGCGGUUGCCUAAGUCUGACGUGAAAGUCCCGGGCUUAACCUGGGGAUGGCGUUGGAGACUGGGUAGCUAGAGUGUGUGAGAGGGGGGUCGAAUUCCACGUGUAGCAGUGAAAUGCGUAGAGAUGUGGAGGAACACCGAUGGCGAAGGCAGCCCCCUGGGAUAACACUGACGCUCAGGCACGAAAGCGUGGGGAGCAAACAGG